GAGGCGGAGAGGGAGAAAGAGAAAUAACCCAGAGGCAAAGAGCAAGCGCGGAGAGAGCGACAGCGGGAGGGAGACAGGAGGCGCAUUAUACCAUCUACUUAGAGAGCCAACGUGAGCUGAAAUGUACGUCGGACUCUUCCGUGUACACAACGCAUAACGUGUUCGAGCCCUAUGUGCCGGGAACUGUCCUGAUCUUACAAUAUAUAUUUCAUGAUAUUUAAACAUUUACUGAAUGUUUAGACAUGGCAAACACUUAUUGAGCUCCAUUAUGUACUAUCUCUAACGCUUAAA